UACGUAGGGUGCGAGCGUUAAUCGGAAUUACUGAACAUAAAGCGUGCGCAGGCAGUUCGUUGUGUCUGAUGUGAAAGCCCCGGGCUCAACCUGGGAAUGGCAUUGGAAACUGGCGAGCUAGAGUGUGGCAGAGGGGGGUGGAAUUCCUGGUGUAGCGGUGGAAUGCGCAGAUAUCAGGAGGAACACCGGUGGCGAAGGCGGGAUCCUGGGCUAGUACUGACGCUGAGGAGCGAAAGCGUGGGGAGCAAACAGG
rnacentral:rRNA from 1 species